rnacentral:rRNA from 1 species
AGAGUUUCGAUCCUGGCUCAGGACAACGCUGGCGGCGUGCUUAACACAUGCAAGUCGAACGCUGAAGCCCUUCGGGGUGGAUGAGUGGCGAACGGGUGAGUAACACGUGGGUAAUCUGCCCUGCACUCUGGGAUAAGCCUUGGAAACGGGGUCUAAUACCGGAUAGGACACAUCGCCGCAUGGUGUGUGUGUGGAAAGUUCCGGCGGUGCAGGUUGAGCCCGCGGCCUAUCAGCUUGUUGGUGGGGUGAUGGCCUACCAAGGCGACGACGGGUAGCCGGCCUGAGAGGGUGACCGGCCACACUGGGACUGAGACACGGCCCAGACUCCUACGGGAGGCAGCAGUGGGGAAUCUUGCGCAAUGGGCGAAAGCCUGACGCAGCAACGCCGCGUGGGGGAUGACGGCCUUCGGGUUGUAAACCUCUUUCGACCGGGACGAAGGAUUCGUUUGACGGUACCGGUAGAAGAAGCACCGGCUAACUACGUG